UGCAGUCGAGCGGUAACAGGGGUAGCUUGCUACCCGCUGACGAGCGGCGGACGGGUGAGUAACGCAUAGGAAUUUACCCGGUAGUGGGGGAUAACCUGGGGAAACCCAGGCUAAUACCGCAUACGUCCUACGGGAGAAAGGGGGCUUUGGCUCCCGCUAUCGGAUGAGCCUAUGCCGGAUUAGCUGGUUGGUGAGGUAAUGGCUCACCAAGGCGACGAUCCGUAGCUGGUCUGAGAGGAUGAUCAGCCACAUCGGGACUGAGACACGGCCCGAACUCCUACGGGAGGCAGCAGUGGGGAAUAUUGGACAAUGGGGGCAACCCUGAUCCAGCCAUGCCGCGUGUGUGAAGAAGGCCCUCGGGUUGUAAAGCACUUUCAGCGAGGAAGAACGCCUGUCGGUUAAUACCCGGCAGGAAAGACAUCACUCGCAGAAGAAGCACCGGCUAACUCCGUGCCAGCAGCCGCGGUAAUACGGAGGGUGCAAGCGUUAAUCGGAAUUACUGGGCGUAAAGCGCGCGUAGGUGGCUUGAUAAGCCGGUUGUGAAAGCCCCGGGCUCAACCUGGGAACGGCAUCCGGAACUAUCAGGCUAGAGUGCAGGAGAGGAAGGUAGAAUUCCCGGUGUAGCGGUGAAAUGCGUAGAGAUCGGGAGGAAUACCAGUGGCGAAGGCGGCCUUCUGGACUGACACUGACACUGAGGUGCG
rnacentral:rRNA from 1 species